rnacentral:rRNA from 1 species
UACGGGUAGGGACCAAGCGUUGUCCGGAAUCAUUGGGCGUAAAGGAGCGUGUAGGCGGCUUAGUUAAGUCUUGCGUGAAAUCCUCGGGGCUCAACCCCGGAGCGGUCGUGAGAACUGGCAGGCUAGGAGUGACGGGGAGAGGGAGAGUGGAAUUCCUGGUGUAGCGGUGAAAUGCGCAGAUAUCGGGAGGAACACCGGUGGCGAAGGCG